rnacentral:rRNA from 1 species
UACGUAGGGUGCAAGCGUUGUCCGGAAUUAUUGGGCGUAAAGGGCUCGUAGGCGGUCCAUCACGUCGGGAGUGAAAAGCUGGGGCUUAACCCCAGUCCUGCUUCCGAUACGGGUGGACUAGAGGUAGGUAGGGGAGAACGGAAUUCCUGGUGUAGCGGUGAAAUGCGCAGAUAUCAGGAGGAACACCGGUGGCGAAGGCGGUUCUCUGGGCCUUACCUGACGCUGAGGAGCGAAAGCGUAGGGAGCAAACAGG